AUGGCGGACGCCGCCGCCCAGAUCUACCAUCUCGUCGCGCCCCUCCUGCAGGAGGCGACGCGUGUCCUGCUCCAGCAGGCGGACCUGCUGAGGACGCUCCAGCCCCGGCUCCAGGCCUGCGUGAAGCCGGCGGCGGCGACGCUGGCGAGCCACCGGGCGCAGGAGCAGGGCGGCGCCCGCGUCCUGCGCACCAUCCUCGCCAACAUCUCCGACGCCGUGCCGCGGCUCGAGGUCGCGGCCGGCCACCUCGCCUCCGCGCUCAGCGUCGCCGUCUCGAACGGCGCCGCAAGGGACGCCCUCCACGUCCUCGACGCUGGCCUGUCGCACGACGAGAUCGCCGCCCAGCUGGUCGCGCUCCCGAGCGUGGACGGCGGCGACUACAGCGCGCAAGACGUCCCCAACUCCGUGCACGUCGCCCACACAUGCGUCCGGCUCGCCAUCGACCACUACCUCCACCGCUGCGCCUGGGUCCUCCGCCGCAUCAGCCUGAGCGAAACCCCCAUCGAGGACGCCCUCGGCUAUCUGGCAACCGCGUACGUGCUGGUGGAGGUGGCUUGGGCGCACACCUUCGACGCCGACCUGCACGGCCGGCCGUGA
rnacentral:rRNA from 1 species